rnacentral:lncRNA from 1 species
GGGAAUCGGAGGGGAGCCAUGAAGCCGAGAAGAAGGAGGCAGGGCUGGAGGCUUCCGUCCAGCGCUGCAUCCUCGUGGCCAUGGCCUUGGUCAUGACCCAAGUCCUGGUGUUCACCUGGCCUAGGAGUCCGCCUCCGACCCUGGAGGCACUGGGUGAUGAGCCGUGCCUCUUUCCUAUUCGCUCCCUCCGCCCCUUCCUCUCCUCUCUUCCUCUUCCAGGCCUGGGUCACCCGAGCUUCUAAGGCUGACGGGACAGGAGUGAGGGCGAGAUGUCUGUGUCCUGUGGUUGCUCCCACCAGACACGGCGAAGAGCUGCUGAGGAGAAACGCUGGAGCUUCUACAAGAUAUGCAACAGCAGCACCUUCCCUUCGAAAGCUUAGGAGAGAAGUGCCCCUAGUCAGAGGCCCAGUAGCAGAGACAGCCUGCACUAACACGCAGUGAUAAGCAGUCCUCGGUAGCGCACCCGCCCCCUUCAGUUCGGAGCUGUGCGCGUGUGUGUGUCCGAGAGGGCUCCGUUGCAGAGUGUAGAUGCUCUCCCGAUUUUACACACCAAAGAAGCAGAACUAGAUCUGUCUUUGUGACCCGAAACAGCUGGAGGCAAUAGAAUCCUGAUUAACAGUUCAAUUAAAGAGACCUAAAGAUUCAGAGUACAGCGCUUCAGUGUGCUUUCGUUUCAGUGAGUUCCUGUAGCUUCCUGGGGAAGGUAACAGACGGAAAAAGCAGCAGGUGUGCUUCGUAGUCGGUAUCCGACAGCUACUGGAGAGUGUUGGCACCUGCUGGCUGGCUUACCCUGGCUGCAGCAAGAGAAGCAUGCCGCUUUGCCAUAAAUGCCCAUUAGUGAGGUCCUGGAGGAUGCGAGGAAGCUGGCGACAGAGGUCACUGAAGUUUAUUUUUCAAAAAUGUUUUGGACUCUGAUGAGACAAAUUAGAUUCAUAAGAGGGAAAAACAUUGUGAACACAGUAAGACUAAUUUUUUCUUAGUCUGAGCCCAUCAGGCAGUAGGUGGACACAUUACGGUGUAAAAUGCCCUGAAGCAGGGGGGUCCUCCCAGGUCAGGGGGCAGUGGGGUGCUCUUCGCAUUCAGCUCUGCGAUUCAUCUCUGACCUUUGGCACGUCACUCUCCAGGCCGUAGUUUCCACAUCUGUAAAAAUAACCUCGUAGGUCCUCUUGUUGGGGAAGGUGGUUGGGAAAUAAAGAAUUAAAGAGAUGCCAGUGCCUCUGUGCUUGAGGCUUCAUUCAAGGAAGCUCGGUGGCAGUAGUUAGUGACAGUAACAGUUAGUAACUGUUAGUAACAGUAGUUAGUAGUAGUAGCCGAAGUAGUUGGCAGCCUCACCGUCUGGAAUCAGGGGCUGUUAACCUGUUGAGUGCCAUGGAGCUCUUGGGCAAUCUGAUGAGGUUAGUGGAACCCUCCUCGAGACAGUGCUUCUCCGUGUGUAAAACAAAAUACCUGGUGCUAUAAAGCGAGUUGUUUAUCGCAUGUCUAUUAGCAUAUGUGCUAGACAGUGUCGUGUCGGCCAGAGGUCCUAUCCUGGUCCCCAGGGCCUGUGACUGUUUUACGUGGCAUGGCAAGAGCGAGUGAGCUUGCUCGUCAGCUGCGCUUGACAGAAGGAGAUUAUCCUGGGUACCUAUGAAUAUUGCAGUUUUGCUGAAUCAAAGGAUCGCUUUUACUGUGAGGGAUGGUCACUGUCGAGUCUUUGUUAAUUUAAAUACUCCAGUGUGACAUGAAAAUGUAUUUUAAGAGAUGAUUUUUCAAAGUCUCAUUUGCUGGAACUACAGAAACAUAACGGAGCUGCCGUCUGAUGGGUAUACGAAACUGCUUUGAAAUUACAACCCUUAUUUCUCGGUGGCAUGUUUAUUGAGUGAGCAAAUGUGCUCAGAUGCAGAAGUAGCAUUUUUCACAUUCUGCUCAUUGUUGUAAACCUCUACUUUCACUAAAAGGAGAAUCAUUUCAUGAAAGAUUCAAAAGUUGCCAUUGCUAGGUACCUCUCAUGACUCUGGUGCCGGAGGCAGGCCAUGGGGAGGCCAGUGCCAUCAGCACACGUGCACAUGGGCAGAGGCUGAAAUAUCACUGAGGCCAGAGCACAGCCCCAUCCCUAAAUGCUUCUUCCAGACCAGGUCUUGAGUCUUCAGUUAUGUGAAUUCCCCGACUUUGUCAAUAAAAAUGCAGGAAUACACCGUCAGUGACACUAAAUCUAAGGCUUGACCCGAAAAUAAAAAAGGGGUUAACUCAAGAGUAAUGUAGAUUUUUCUGCCUCUUGCUUAUCACUUCAUGAAUACUCAGGCAUCUCAAAAAAGCCUCCUUUGAUAAUGCAGUGCAAGCAAAUGGAUUUCUGUUCUCUUACGAGCAGCUAGCUCAAACUCCUGUUGCCUUUUUUCCUGUACAUCUUAACCUAAGACCAACAAAAUUCACCAAUUACAGACUCUGUAGGAUGGUACCGGCAAGAUGUCAAGUUGAAAAUCUUAGACUGUGCGGUUGCAGUGAAUUUUGAAAACAAGGUCAGUUGUUCGUUUCGAACUUAAGGAAGCCUGAUUGGUGGGCCAGGGAGACUUUGAGCCUGGCUACCGUUUCUCAGGACCACCUGGUUCAUUGAGUCUGGGCCAAAAUGGGCUCGACCUGCGUGAAGGGUCAACUUAUGUCUGCUCACCUACUCAAAUGUGAAGUCCUAAGCCCCAGGACCUCAGAAUGUGAACUUUCUGGGAAGUAGGAUUAUUGCAAAUGUAAUUGGUUAUAUGAAGAUGAGAUCAUCCUGGGGUGUGGUGGGACCUAAUCCAGAGUGACGGGGAAAUAAAAAGGAUACAUGAAAAAGGGGAAAUUGGGGUACACACACACGCACACAGAGAAUGCAGUAUCUCAACUGCAGUUAUGCUGCUACCAGCCAGGGAUCAAACCUGCAACCUCACAGUUCCCAGUUGGAUUCGUUUCCGCUGCGCCACAACGGAAACUCCUGUAACUUCUUGUCAGAGUAGGCCAAUAACACUAAAGUCAAGCCAACCUAACCCUUAAUGAUUUAAUGAUUCAUUGUCCAUUUAGCUUGAUUGUCUCUUUAAAUUAAAAAAAACUAUAAUGAUAUUUUAAGUGACCCAAACCACAUUUAUCCGUAACAGUUUCUCAAUAUAUGUUUAUGCUUCCCUGUUACUUUGCAAAUAGAAUCAAAAUUACAUCAAAAUAAAACCUCAGAUUGAUAAAACACUUUAGGAAAUGUGUAGAUAUUUGCGAUUUUCCAGGUAACACAACAUCGUUAGGAAUUUGUGCUUUGUGAUUCUAGAUAUAGAGACAAAUAGAUUAAGACAGAUGUCACAUUUGCUUUUCCACAAACUGCAUUUCAUUGUGUGCUUCUCAUCUUCCAGAAAUUAGGAAGACUCAUGUAUGCUUUUAAAAAAUGAGUCACAAUAAAUUUGUUGGUUCCUUGACGCAGUCGAUCAACAUAUACCAAGCAGGUCAGAUGUAUUUUUGAAAAUAAUUAAGUCUGCCUUACAGCCACGCUGCCUUAAGUACAUUUUCACAGUCAGAAAGGCUGCGUGUCACGAGCCUCCCUGACAGCAUUCUGCAUGUUAUCACCUCGUUUUCAAGCACACAUCUGCUGGGAGUGAGCCACUCUGCAUCUCCCUCGCCUUUAUUUUACAGCUAGAAGAGUGCUGAGGCAGCGCGCUAAGAGCUACACAAUUGUCUUGCCGAACUUCUUUGGGGGAAAAUACAUAGAAAACCAAAAAA